UGCAGGACUUCUCAAAGAUGCAGACCCUGACCUGAAUGAGGUCCCCCCACAAGAGCUGGCAGCUGCCCACACCUGUCUUCCAGGGAGGGAACAGGUGGCUGCAAGUCUGGCCAUUCUUCAAAAAUAAGACUCCAGUAAUUCUCCUGUAAUAAGACUGAAAGAAGUCAUCUCUGUUCUCCCUGCUAAGAUUCUAAGUCUCUUGAGCUGGAGAAGACCUCCUGGGGGACCAGAGGAAGUAACACCAGAACACCUGUUAGCAUGACCUCAUGGUCCUCCGGUCAGUGGUACCACCUUCUCAGGAGAUUUCUGCCCCAAGUUUUGCCCUUAAAAACCUUCAACUGCAAGUCAUCAGGGAGUUCGGGACUCACUACAUUAGUUCCCCAUUCUUGUAGGUGAU